rnacentral:rRNA from 1 species
UUGGAGGGCAAGUCUGGUGCCAGCAGCCGCGGUAAUUCCAGCUCCAAUAGCGUAUAUUAAAGUUGUUGCAGUUAAAAAGCUCGUAGUUGAAUUUCGGGGUCAGUAGAUUGGUCAUGCCACUGAUAUGUACUGGUCUCACUGAUUCCUCCUUCCUGAUGAGCCGUAAUGCCAUUAAUUUGGUGUUGCGAGGAAUCUGGACUGUUACUUUGAAAAAAUUAGAGUGUUUAAAGCAGGCUAACGCUUGAAUACAUUAGCAUGGAAUAAUGAAAUAGGACGUUCGAUCUUAUUUUGUUGGUUUCUAAGAUUGGCGUAAUGAUUAAUAGGGAUAGUUGGGGGCAUUAGUAUUCAAUUGUCAGAGGUGAAAUUCUUGGAUUUAUUGAAGACUAACUACUGCGAAAGCAUUUGCCAAGGAUGUUUUCAUUAAUCAAGAACGAAAGUUAGGGGAUCGAAGUCGAUCAGAUACCGUCGUAGUCUUAACCAUAAACUAUGCCGACUAGGGAUCGGAUGAUGUUAAUUUUUUAAUGACUCAUUCGGCGCCUUACGGGAAAC